CUCAAUUCCAUUAGGCCAUGAGAAUGUGUAUGGGACAGACACAGGAACUUCAUUCUAUUUAUGUAUAAUUCUCCUCCAAGACUAAGGAUGUUCUCUGACAGCAGCUGCAUCCAUGUUAAUGUGAUACUUAAAUGUUCCCUAAAGAGUUAAACAUGUACCCUAAUUCUCUACAAGAUACAAUGCAUCUUAUGGUUGUGUCAAACAUUCUGAUGAUUACUGUGAUGAUCACAAAGUGAAAAAGUUCAUCGGGAUAUUAAAGCAGCAGCUACAGUUCUAAAGAAUAUGUGUUAAUUUCAUCUGUAAGCACCAGCUUUCAAGCCACUUAGCAAAUCUUUUUUGUGGCGAAAUCCUGUACUAUUUAUAGCAUUUCUACUUUGAGAAGCAUUUUAUUUUUUAGGAAUGAAUUUUUAAUGUCUUACGAAGUGUGGAACAAUUCAAAAUGGUAAUAUUACUACUAAUAAUUUUUGAAUUAAUAGGUUUUCCCAGCAUGUCUUCAUUAGGAGUAAUUUACUAAAAAUAAAAUCAA
rnacentral:lncRNA from 1 species